CGGGGGGGGCAAGCGUUGUUCGGAAUUACUGGGCGUAAAGGGCUCGUAGGCGGCCAACUAAGUCAGACGUGAAAUCCCUCGGCUUAACCGGGGAACUGCGUCUGAUACUGGAUGGCUUGAGAUUGGGAGAGGGAUGCGGAAUUCCAGGUGUAGCGGUGAAGUGCGUAGAUAUCUGGAGGAACACCGGUGGCGAAGGCGGCAUCCUGGACCAACACUGACGCUGAGGAGCGAAAGCCAGGGGAGCAAACGGGAUUAGAUACCCCGGUAGUCCUGGCCCUAAACGAUGAAUGCUUGGUGUGACGGGUAUCGAUCCCUGUCGUGCCGAAGCUAACGCAAUAAGCAUUCCGCCUGGGGAGUACGGUCGCAAGGCUG
rnacentral:rRNA from 1 species